GACGAACGCUGGCGGCGUGCUUAACACAUGCAAGUCGAACGGAAAGGCCCUGCUUUUGUGGGGUGCUCGAGUGGCGAACGGGUGAGUAACACGUGAGUAACCUGCCCUUGACUUUGGUAUAACUUCAGGAAACUGGGGCUACUACCGGAUAGGAUCUCCUGCUGCAUGGUGGGGGUUGGAAAGUUUCGGCGGUUGGGGAUGGAUUCGCGGCUUAUCAGCUUGUUGGUGGGGUAGUGGCUUACCAAGGCUUUGACGGGUAGCCGGCCUGGGAGGGUGACCGGCCACAUGGGGACUGAGAGACGGCCCAGACUCGUACGGGAGGCAGCAGGGGGGAAUAUUGCACAAUGGGCGGAAGCCUGAUGCAGAAACGCCGCGGGCGGGAUGACGGCCUGCGGGUUGUAAACCGCUUUCGCCUGUGACGAAGCGUGAGUGACGGUAAUGGGUAAAGAAGCACCGGCUAACUACGUG
rnacentral:rRNA from 1 species